rnacentral:rRNA from 1 species
AGAGUUUGAUCAUGGCUCAGGACGAACGCUGGCGGCGUGCUUAACACAUGCAAGUCGAACGGAAAGGCCCUUCGGGGUACUCGAGUGGCGAACGGGUGAGUAACACGUGGGUGAUCUGCCCUGCACUUUGGGAUAAGCCUGGGAAACUGGGUCUAAUACCGAAUAGGACCACGCGCUUCAUGGUGUGUGGUGGAAAGCUUUUGCGGUGUGGGAUGGGCCCGCGGCCUAUCAGCUUGUUGGUAGGGUAAUGGCCUACCAAGGCGACGACGGGUAGCCGGCCUGAGAGGGUGACCGGCCACACUGGGACUGAGAUACGGCCCAGACUCCUACGGGAGGCAGCAGUGGGGAAUAUUGCACAAUGGGCGCAAGCCUGAUGCAGCGACGCCGCGUGAGGGAUGACGGCCUUCGGGUUGUAAACCUCUUUCAAUAGGGACGAAGCGCAAGUGACGGUACCUAUAGAAGAAGCACCGGCCAACUACGUGCCAGCAGCCGCGGUAAUACGUAGGGUGCGAGCGUUGUCCGGAAUUACUGGGCGUAAAGAGCUCGUAGGUGGUUUGUCGCGUUGUUCGUGAAAACUCACAGCUUAACUGUGGGCGUGCGGGCGAUACGGGCAGACUAGAGUACUGCAGGGGAGACUGGAAUUCCUGGUGUAGCGGUGGAAUGCGCAGAUAUCAGGAGGAACACCGGUGGCGAAGGCGGGUCUCUGGGCAGUAACUGACGCUGAGGAGCGAAAGCGUGGGGAGCGAACAGGAUUAGAUACCCCGGUAGUCCAA